UGGGGAAUAUUGGGCAAUGGGCGAAAGCCUGACCCAGCGACGCCGCGUGAGGGACGAAGGCCUUCGGGUUGUAAACCUCUUUCAGUAGGGAAGAAGCGAAAGUGACGGUACCUACAGAAGAAGCACCGGCUAACUACGUGCCAGCAGCCGCGGUAAUACGUAGGGUGCAAGCGUUGUCCGGAAUUAUUGGGCGUAAAGAGCUCGUAGGCGGUUCGGUAAGUCGGGUGUGAAACCUCCAGGCUCAACCUGGAGACGCCACCUGAUACUGCUGUGACUAGAGUCCGGUAGGGGAGUGUGGAACUCCUGGUGUAGCGGUGAAAUGCGCAGAUAUCAGGAGGAACACCGAUGGCGAAGGCAGGUCUCUGGGCCAUAACUGACACUGAGGAGCGAAAGCGUGGGGAGCAAACAGG
rnacentral:rRNA from 1 species